UCCAGUUUCAGGUGAAUACGUCUUGAUUGGCAUGGUCGCCAUUAGCUCAAAGGCAUACGAGCAACAUGGAGCUCUGCUGAGAAGCAUUGGAAGCCGACAAGAAGACCAAGCCAUGUGCUCAAGGGUCAGCAAAAGCAUAUCCAGUCAUCGCUGCUAUUUUUGUUUAUAAAGACACACAUGCAUUGUCCGUUGGGUGGAAAAAGAAAAAAGCAUAAACUGCAGCAGAGCGGUUGUAUGAUUAAGCACAUACUUUAUCUGUGCUGUGCCAGUUGCAGCAAUGCUGAAAAUGGUUCAGCAACUAGAGAGGGAAAUAUUUUUUGCACUAGGCAGGAAACAAAAAAAGAACAGGCACGUUUCAGUUCCAGGAAAAUGCUGUUUGGGUUUGUUAUUUUUUUGUACUGCUGGAGAUUUUUUUUUUUGUGCUGGUAAAAAUAUUGAAUAUAAAGUUAACAACCCCUUAAAAAGAACCUCUAAAUUUAUCAAACCAAAUGGGAAAAUUAUAUUUUACUCUUGACCACAAAAAUGGCAUGAAAGCAGUAGAACAAACUACAUCCACAUCCACCUCAGUUUAAUUUAUGAGUUUAGUCGUAUGUAUGAUGCAAGCAACCCAAUAAAGAAACUCAGCCUGCA